rnacentral:lncRNA from 1 species
UCAAAACCAGAACCAUUGUCCCAGACCGGAAAAUAAAAUCAGUUUACAAAAAGCGUUAUUAAUUCAGAGGGUUUGGCUACAUCCCUCUCGCCGCUUUGUCUAAUCCGAUUUCUUCAUCUUCGUCGGCAGGGGAGCUUAUCGUUUCCACACCAAUGGAUUUUUUCUCAAUCUCCUCGUCUCCUUAUGAUUUUACCAACCAGUAAGAUAAAUUUGAAAAAGAAAAAAAAACUCGCCGGAACGGCGUAAAUCACCCAACUAGGUGAUAUCUUCAGGUGAGAAUUAUUUUGAGAGAGAAAACAAAGGUGGAGGAGAUAUGGCGGAGCUCCAUAAUCG